rnacentral:pre_miRNA from 1 species
AGUGAAGUAGCUGGAUCAAGUGGUGGUUCCAUUUCAAGUUUUCUGAGGAAUCUUUAUACUGCUUUCCAGAGUGGUUGUACCAAUUUGUAGUCCCACCAGCAAG